AUGCAGAUCUUUGUGAAGACCCUCACCGGCAAGACCAUCACCCUUGAGGUCGAGUCCUCUGACACGAUCGACAACGUCAAGGCGAAGAUCCAGGACAAGGAGGGCAUCCCUCCGGACCAGCAGCGCCUCAUCUUCGCUGGCAAGCAGCUUGAGGACGGUCGCACCCUUGCUGACUACAACAUCCAGAAGGAGUCCACCCUCCACCUGGUGCUCCGCCUGCGUGGUGGGGUGGUAUGCAGAUCUUUGUGA
rnacentral:rRNA from 1 species